AUUUUUUUGAAAUAAUUAAAAAUGAGUCCUGCUCAAUGUAAAAUAAAUGGCCGCAGUAUUUUGACUGUGCAAAGGUAGCAUAAUAAUUAGUCUUAUAAUUGAAGACUGGGAUGAAAGGAUAAACUAGAAAAGUUCUUUCUUAAUCUUUCUUUUAAAUUUUAUUUUUUAGUAAGAAGGCUAAAAUGUGUCUUUUAGACAAGAAGACCCUAUAAAACUUUACAUAGAAUAAUUUAAUAAAUUAAAAAAUAUGUUUUGCUGGGGCGGUAAAAAGAAAAACACUUUUAAAUUAUUACGAUAAUAUAAUCUCAAUACCCAAAAUUUUUGAAAAUUAAAUAAGCUACUUUAGGGAUAACAGCGUAAUAUGUUUUAAAAGCUCAAAUUGACAAACAUGUUUGCGACCUCGAUGUUGGAUUAGUUUUCCUUUACUAUGCAAGAGUAUUAAUAGGAGGUCUGUUCGACCUUUAAAGAACUCCA
rnacentral:rRNA from 1 species